UGCCAGCAGCCGCGGUAAUACGGAGGGUGCAAGCGUUAAUCGGAAUUACUGGGCGUAAAGCGCGCGUAGGCGGUCUGUUAAGUCAGCUGUGAAAGCCCUGGGCUUAACCUGGGAACUGCAGUUGAUACUGGCAGGCUAGAGUACGAGAGAGGGAGGUAGAAUUCCAUGUGUAGCGGUGAAAUGCUUAGAUAUAUGGAGGAAUACCAGUGGCGAAGGCGGCCUCCUGGCUCGAUACUGACGCUGAGGUGCGAAAGCUAGGGUAGCGAACGGGAUUAGAUA
rnacentral:rRNA from 1 species